rnacentral:misc_RNA from 3 species
AACGCACCUUGCGCUCCUUGGUAUUCCGAGGAGCAUGCCUGUUUGAGUGUCAUUAAAUUCUCAACUAUUAUCAGCUUUUGCUGAUGAUGGCUUGGAUAUGGGGGUAUAUUUUGCUGGCUUCACAGAAUGUCAGCUCCCCUUAAAUGCAUUAGCCGGUGCCCCGCGUGGACUGUCUAUUGGUGUGAUAAUUAUCUACGCCGUGGACAUCUACAAUCAUAUGGGUUUGCGCUGCUCCCAACCGUCUGUUUACUCAGACAAUACAUGACAAUUUGACCUCAAAUCAGGUAGGACUACCCGCUGAACUUAA